GCGCCAUGUAAGGCGAUCACCGCUGGGAGUCAUCGUCGGUGCUGGAGCGGGAGGAGCGCGAGCGCCUGUUUAACGAGCACGUGGAGGCGCUCGCCAAGAAGAAGAAGGAGCUCUUCAGGCAGCUGCUCGACGACACACACACCAUCACUCUGACCACCUCAUGGAAGGAAGUGAAAAAACUCAUAAAGGAGGAUCCCCGUUGCAUCAAGUUCUCCAGCAGUGACCGGAAGCGCCAGCGAGAGUUUGAGGACUACAUCAGAGAUAAAUACGUAACGGCCAAAGCUGAUUUCAGAACACUCCUCAAGGAAACCAAGUUCAUCACCUACAGAUCCCGUAACUUGUUGCAGGAGUCGGAUCAGCACCUGCGGGACCUGGAGAACGUUCUGGAGAACGACCGGCGCUACCUGGUUCUAGAUUGUGUUCCAGAGGAACGGCACAAGCUGCUCAUGUCCUACAUCAGCGAGCUAGAACGCCGCGGACCCCCACCACCCCCCACAGCUUCGGAACCCACGCGACGCUCCACAAAAUAACACACGCACACACACCUGCCUCUCUAGAUUAGACCUGCACACACACGCGCACACACACACACACACACGCACACACACCUGCCUCACAAGAUUAGACCUGCACACACA